rnacentral:ribozyme from 1 species
UUCAAAAGUAGUUAUGUUGGCAGUGUUGUAGCAAUACCUCGCUGAUAGUUUCCACCCGCUACUCCUACUCAAUACGUCCCCGUCGUAUAGAACGGUAACACGUCUCUAAAUUAUCCAAGCUUACGUAUACGGAGAAACCCAACCCCUUCUACAAGUCUACAUGACUCUACCUGGGAGGG